rnacentral:rRNA from 1 species
UACGUAGGGUGCAGGCGUUAAUCGGAAUUACUGGGCGUAAAGGGCGCGUAGGCGGUCCGAUAAGUCCCGUGUGAAAUCCCUCGGCUCAACUGAGGAAUGGCACGGGAAACUGACGGGCUUGAGUUCGGGAGAGGGAAGCGGAAUUCCGGGUGUAGCGGUGAAAUGCGUAGAUAUCCGGAGGAAUACCGGUGGCGAAGGCGGCAUCCUGGACCAUUACUGACGCUGAGGCGCGAAAGCUAGGGGAGCAAACGGG